AACGAAGUGAAUUGAAAUAUCUUAGUAACUUCAGGAAAAGAAAUCAAACGAGAUUGUUAUUUAGUAUCUGCUAAAUAACAAAAGCCAAAAUUAAGUAAAACGGAUUCAAAUCUGUUUGAAUAUAGGGGAACCUUCCUCUAAGGCUAAAUAUGAUAUAUAAGCGAUAGUGAUAAGUACCGUGAGGUAAAAUUUGAAAUAGUAGUUUUAUAAGCAGCUCGAGUGAAAUUUAAAUAAAUAAUAAGAGCGUACCUUUUGCAUAAUGGGUCAGCAAGUUAAUUUUAGAUGCAAGCAAUGUUCUAUAAAAUAAGUUGAAGGGAGAUGGACCUUCAAGGGUAAGUUAUAGAGCUAGCUUAGAUAAACCAAUUAUGAAAAAAUGAAUUAGUAUCUAGAAUUAGACCCGAAGGCUAGUGAUCUUACCAUGGUCAGGGUUAUAAAAGCCCGAACGGGUUAUCGUUGUAUAGAUAUCCGAAGAAUUGUGGUAAGUUAGUGAAAGACAAAACUGACUAGUAUAGCUGGUUUUCCGCGAAACCUAUAUAAGUAGGUAAUUUAAUUAACAUCUUAGCAGGUACAGAACUGUGAUCUCGGACAAUAUCUUUGAUUUUGUCAACAUCGGGGGAUUGUAGUGAUUUUACCGGAGAGUAUUUGCACUCGAAAUGGCAAAGAUGAAUGUUGAAUAAUCGGACAUAGUGCGAUAAGGUUGUAUGUCUAAAGGGAAACAGCCCAGAACAAGAGUUAAGGUUCCAAAAUUAUUGUUGAGUGAAAUUAAGGAUGUUUUUUUUUAAUACAAUCAGGUAAUAGGCUUAGAAGCGGCCAUUUUUUGAAGACCUCGUAACAGAGCACUGAUUAAAUUUUUCUUAGAAAAAAACACCGAAAAUUUAACGGAUCUAAACAAUAUACCGAAACCUUGUACACAUAUGUAUAAUAAUUCUAUUGUCUAUGUGGGGUAGCGGAACAUUGGAAAAAUAUUUUUUCAUAUAUAUUUAUAAUAUAUAUGAAUGAAGGAUAUAUUGAGUAAAUUAAUAUUUAAAGUUAAGGUUUAAAUACGUUUAAAGUUUAGUUUAACAGCUAAGGUUUAAAUAUGUUUAAAGUUUAGUUUUAUAGAUAUAUAUAUAAUAUUAUUAUACAUUGUAUAUAAAUAUACAUUGUAUAUGACUUAUAUGUGUCUCUAGGUAUAUAGAUAUACUUUUAUUCUUUGAAAAAUAUAUCCUUUUAUAUAAUUCCAAGAGAGAAUGCUGACAUGAGUAACGAAAAAGGUUUAACCUCGCCUUAAGCUUAUGGGAUUAUAUUUAAUUUUCGGUAUCUAAAAAUAUUAAUCAAAAGGUAAUUUUGAUGAUAUUAUAUUGAUAUGUGUAUCUGAAAAAUAAAAAGAAACCUUUAACAAGUAAUAAAGGUUCUGGAAAAUUUUUUAUUUAAUAUUUAAAUUGUCUCAAAAUAAUAAUAUAAUAACCAUUGAUAAUUAAUAAUGUUUAAUAUAAAAGAAUCCAUUUAUUUUUUUUAUUAUUAUUCAUUAAUUAAAAAAAAUGGAAAAAAUUAUUCAUUAAUUUUUAAUUAUAUAAUAUAUAUUUUUAUAACUUUACUUUAGGCAGUAUGAGGGGAAAAUAUAAAUCAACAAGGGAGAGCUAAUAGAUGGGGGAAGGCUUAUAUUAUUGUAAUUGAGAGCUUUAUUUAAGUUAACCCUCUAGACUGAUUAACUAUUGGUCUGGUAUCCUUCUAUUAAGUGCCUUUUUUGGUCUAUAUAUAGUAUAAGUUGUACUAUAGCCCUUCAAACAACCUGAACUCCUCUUUAGGUGUCUAAAAAUAAAGUAUAAAUAUAUAUAUAUAUAAGUAUUAUAGGAUACAUUAUAUAUAUAUAAUACCGUACCUAAAAACUAGCAUCAAGUAAGCAAGUAGAGUAUACAAAGGCGUUUGAGUGAACAAUCAUUAAGGAACUCGGCAAAUUGACUACCGUAACUUCGGGAUAAGGAGAGCCAUUUUUAUUAGUUUAACAUCCAGAAUGAUUUUAUUAAACUAAUAAGAAGAGGAAGCAUGGAAUAAUGUUGUACGACUGUUUAAUAAAAACACAGCACUCUGCAAAGAUAAAAUAUCAAAGUAUUGAGUGUGAUGUCUGCCCAAUGUCGGCUGGGUAACGGAUUUACCUUGGUUUUUAACUAAGGUUUUGAAGGACACCCCGAUUAAUGGCGGCCUUACCUAUGAGGGUCCUAAGGUAGCGAAAUACCUUGGCCGUUAAAUGCGGUCCUGCAUGAAUGACUUAACGAUACAACAGCUGUCUCGAUGAUUGUCUCAGUGAAAUUGGAAUAGCAGUGCAGAUACUGUUUACCUCUAGAUAGACGAGAAGACCCUAUGCAGCUUUACUGUUACUAAUUGCAAGAGUGAAAAUUUAGGAUGAUUGCGAGUGUAUAAGGUAGUUGUAAGAUAACAAUGAAACACCUUUAUUCGUUUCCUAUAACAUGCUCUUGAGGAUUGGGAGGCAGUUUAUGCGGGGCACAGAUCCCACAAAAAGUACCUGGGUAUAUCCAAAGUUCAUAUUGUAAAUUUGUAAUUUUUUAUUACAAAUUUUUUAAUUUGUUAUAAUUAUAUUUAUAAUUAUACAGUUAUUAUUAGAUUAAAUUCAAUAUGUUUUAUUUUUAUUUUAAGUAAGAUUUUAACUAUAUGGUGAAUAGAUGCAUUUUUAAACUUUACCCUAUAGGGUUAUAUUUAAAAGUUUUUUGUCAUAUUAAUAUUGUAUUAUUUUACCUUUAUUAAUAUGAUGAUUAUUUAUGCUUUAAAAGUUUAAUGGCUUAAUCUUGCUUUACUGUUUGACCUACAAGUCUAUCAGUCGCGUAAGCGGGGCAUAUGAUCACAAGAUGCAUUAAGGAAAGGUCUUGGAUUAUAGAAAAAGUUACGCUAGGGAUUUAUAACUGUGAGUCCCCCAAUAUUAUAAAAUAUUGGAAAUAUAGAACCAUUUUUAGAAAAAUGGAAAUAAAAGAAAAAAUCUUUUAUGAUAACAUAAAUUGAACAGGCUAAUUUGCGCAAGAGAGUACAAAUUGAGUGCGCGGUUUGGCACCUCGAUGUCGGCUUAGCUCAUCCACAUGAAUGCAAAAAUCAUGAAGGGUUCGACUGUUCGUCGAUUAAAGAGCUACAUGAGCUGGGUUUAAUACGUCGUGAGACAGUAUGGUUUCUAUCUUCUAGAGGAAAUUAAAGUAUAAUAAAGAUAGCCCCUUCGUACGAAAGGAGUUGGGUAUAUUGACCUAUGGUUUACCUGUUGUUUAUGAUAGUUACCUAAAAUUAGGGAAACUCAUUUAUUUCUACUUAAAUAAAUUGUUCUCAUAGGCAUGGCAGGAAGGCUACGUCAGUUAAAGAUAAGUGCUGAAAGCAUUUAAGCGCGAAGCUUACUUUAGGAUACUUUUAAACGUAGUAGAACACUACGA
rnacentral:rRNA from 1 species